rnacentral:rRNA from 1 species
UGAAAUCAGUGUCUACCCCACAUAUACAUGCAAGUAUCCGCACUCCUGUGAGAACGCCCUUAAACACCUUUUAGGAACAAGGAGCUGGUAUCAGGCUCAACAAUUAGCCCAAAACACCUAGUCACGCCACACCCACAAGGGUCUUCAGCAGUAAUUAACAUUGAAAAUAAGCGCCAGCUUGAUUCAGUCUCGGUAGAAAGGGCAGGCAAAUUUGGUGCCAGCCGCCGCGGUUACACCAUUUGGCCCAAAUUGAUUGCUUUCGGCGUAAAGAGUGAUUUAAGAAACACACCAAUGUAGUUUUACCCCGCUUCAGUUGUAAUAAGCUUAUGCCUGGGAAACCCAAAAACGAAAGUUACUACACCCAAAACAACU